rnacentral:rRNA from 1 species
AGAUUGAACGCUGGCGGAAUGCUUUACACAUGCAAGUCGAACGGCAGCACGGGACUCAGGCAACUGAGCCCUGGUGGCGAGUGGCGAACGGGUGAGUAACAUAUCGGAACGUACCCAGUCGUGGGGGAUAACUCUCCGAAAGGAGAGCUAAUACCGCAUACGUCCUGAGGGAGAAAGCGGGGGACCUAAGGGUAACUGAGGGCCUCGCGCGAUUGGAGCGGCCGAUAUCGGAUUAGCUAGUUGGUGAGGUAAAGGCUCACCAAGGCGACGAUCCGUAGCGGGUCUGAGAGGACGACCCGCCACACUGGAACUGAGACGACGGUCCAGACCUACCGUACGGGAGCGAGCGAAGGUGGGGAAUUUUUGGACUAAGUACGGGGGGAAACCCUGACGUCCGA